CCGACGGUGAGAGACGAAAGCUGGGGGAGCAAACCGGAUUAGAUACCCGGGUAGUCCCAGCCGUAAACGAUGUGCGUUAGGUGUAUCGGUGACCACGAGUCACCGAGGUGCCGAAGAGAAAUCGUGAAACGUACCGCCUGGGAAGUACGGUCGCAAGGCUGAAACUUAAAGGAAUUGGCGGGGGAGCACCACAACAGGUGGAGCCUGCGGUUUAAUCGGACUCAACGCCGGGAACUCACCAGAUAAGACAGCUGAAUGAUAGUCGGGCUGAAGACUCUACUUGACUAGCUGAGAGGAGGUGCAUGGCCGUCGUCAGUUCGUACUGUGAAGCAUCCUGUUAAGUCA
rnacentral:rRNA from 1 species